rnacentral:tRNA from 1 species
GCGGGUGUAGUACAGUGGUAGUACAUUAGCUUCCCAAGCUAAGGACGGGGGUCCGAUUCCCCCUACCCGCU